rnacentral:rRNA from 1 species
UGCGUAGGCGUCCAGGAAAGUUAUUUGUUAAAGCCUCCGGCUUAACCGGAGAUAUGCAAGUAAAACUAUCUGGAUAGAGUUUAAGAGAGGAAAAUGGAAUUCCUGGUGUAGCGGUGACAUGCGUAGAUAUCAGGAGGAACAUCAAUGGCGAAGGCAGUUUUCUGGCUUAAAACUGACGCUGAGGCACGAAAGCGUGGGGAGCAAACAGGAUUAGAUACCCUGGUAGUCC